GGCUAUUAGCUCAGUGGUAGAGCGCGCCCCUGAUAACUUCACGGGCGAGGUCUCUGGUUCAAGUCCAGGAUGGCCCA
rnacentral:tRNA from 1 species